rnacentral:rRNA from 1 species
UUAAGCGACUAAGCGUACACGGUGGAUGCCCUGGCAGUCAGAGGCGAUGAAGGACGUGCUAAUCUGCGAUAAGCGUCGGUAAGGUGAUAUGAACCGUUAUAACCGGCGAUUUCCGAAUGGGGAAACCCAGUGUGAUUCGUCACACUAUCAUUAACUGAAUCCAUAGGUUAAUGAGGCGAACCGGGGGAACUGAAACAUCUAAGUACCCCGAGGAAAAGAAAUCAACCGAGAUUCCCCCAGUAGCGGCGAGCGAACGGGGAGGAGCCCAGAGCCUGAAUCAGUGUGUGUGUUAGUGGAAGCGUCUGGAAAGGCGCGCGAUACAGGGUGACAGCCCCGUACACAAAAAUGCACAUGCUGUGAGCUCGAUGAGUAGGGCGGGACACGUGGUAUCCUGUCUGAAUAUGGGGGGACCAUCCUCCAAGGCUAAAUACUCCUGACUGACCGAUAGUGAACCAGUACCGUGAGGGAAAGGCGAAAAGAACCCCGGCGAGGGGAGUGAAAAAGAACCUGAAACCGUGUACGUACAAGCAGUGGGAGCCUCUUUAUGGGGUGACUGCGUACCUUUUGUAUAAUGGGUCAGCGACUUAUAUUCUGUAGCAAGGUUAACCGAAUAGGGGAGCCGAAGGGAAACCGAGUCUUAACUGGGCGUUAAGUUGCAGGGUAUAGACCCGAAACCCGGUGAUCUAGCCAUGGGCAGGUUGAAGGUUGGGUAACACUAACUGGAGGACCGAACCGACUAAUGUUGAAAAAUUAGCGGAUGACUUGUGGCUGGGGGGGAAAGGCCAAUCAAACCGGGAGAUAGCUGGUUCUCCCCGAAAGCUAUUUAGGUAGCGCCUCGUGAAUUCAUCUCCGGGGGUAGAGCACUGUUUCGGCAAGGGGGUCAUCCCGACUUACCAACCCGAUGCAAACUGCGAAUACCGGAGAAUGUUAUCACGGGAGACACACGGCGGGUGCUAACGUCCGUCGUGAAGAGGGAAACAACCCAGACCGCCAGCUAAGGUCCCAAAGUCAUGGUUAAGUGGGAAACGAUGUGGGAAGGCCCAGACAGCCAGGAUGUUGGCUUAGAAGCAGCCAUCAUUUAAAGAAAGCGUAAUAGCUCACUGGUCGAGUCGGCCUGCGCGGAAGAUGUAACGGGGCUAAACCAUGCACCGAAGCUGCGGCAGCGACACUAUGUGUUGUUGGGUAGGGGAGCGUUCUGUAAGCCUGCGAAGGUGUACUGUGAGGUAUGCUGGAGGUAUCAGAAGUGCGAAUGCUGACAUAAGUAACGAUAAAGCGGGUGAAAAGCCCGCUCGCCGGAAGACCAAGGGUUCCUGUCCAACGUUAAUCGGGGCAGGGUGAGUCGACCCCUAAGGCGAGGCCGAAAGGCGUAGUCGAUGGGAAACAGGUUAAUAUUCCUGUACUUGGUGUUACUGCGAAGGGGGGACGGAGAAGGCUAUGUUGGCCGGGCGACGGUUGUCCCGGUUUAAGCGUGUAGGCUGAUUUUCCAGGCAAAUCCGGAAAAUCAAGGCUGAGGCGUGAUGACGAGGCACUACGGUGCUGAAGCAACAAAUGCCCUGCUUCCAGGAAAAGCCUCUAAGCAUCAGGUAACAUCAAAUCGUACCCCAAACCGACACAGGUGGUCAGGUAGAGAAUACCAAGGCGCUUGAGAGAACUCGGGUGAAGGAACUAGGCAAAAUGGUGCCGUAACUUCGGGAGAAGGCACGCUGAUAUGUAGGUGAAGUCCCUUGCGGAUGGAGCUGAAAUCAGUCGAAGAUACCAGCUGGCUGCAACUGUUUAUUAAAAACACAGCACUGUGCAAACACGAAAGUGGACGUAUACGGUGUGACGCCUGCCCGGUGCCGGAAGGUUAAUUGAUGGGGUUAGCGGUAACGCGAAGCUCUUGAUCGAAGCCCCGGUAAACGGCGGCCGUAACUAUAACGGUCCUAAGGUAGCGAAAUUCCUUGUCGGGUAAGUUCCGACCUGCACGAAUGGCGUAAUGAUGGCCAGGCUGUCUCCACCCGAGACUCAGUGAAAUUGAACUCGCUGUGAAGAUGCAGUGUACCCGCGGCAAGACGGAAAGACCCCGUGAACCUUUACUAUAGCUUGACACUGAACAUUGAGCCUUGAUGUGUAGGAUAGGUGGGAGGCUUUGAAGUGUGGACGCCAGUCUGCAUGGAGCCGACCUUGAAAUACCACCCUUUAAUGUUUGAUGUUCUAACGUUGGCCCCUAAUCGGGGUUGCGGACAGUGUCUGGUGGGUAGUUUGACUGGGGCGGUCUCCUCCUAAAGAGUAACGGAGGAGCACGAAGGUUGGCUAAUCCUGGUCGGACAUCAGGAGGUUAGUGCAAUGGCAUAAGCCAGCUUGACUGCGAGCGUGACGGCGCGAGCAGGUGCGAAAGCAGGUCAUAGUGAUCCGGUGGUUCUGAAUGGAAGGGCCAUCGCUCAACGGAUAAAAGGUACUCCGGGGAUAACAGGCUGAUACCGCCCAAGAGUUCAUAUCGACGGCGGUGUUUGGCACCUCGAUGUCGGCUCAUCACAUCCUGGGGCUGAAGUAGGUCCCAAGGGUAUGGCUGUUCGCCAUUUAAAGUGGUACGCGAGCUGGGUUUAGAACGUCGUGAGACAGUUCGGUCCCUAUCUGCCGUGGGCGCUGGAGAACUGAGGGGGGCUGCUCCUAGUACGAGAGGACCGGAGUGGACGCAUCACUGGUGUUCGGGUUGUCAUGCCAAUGGCACUGCCCGGUAGCUAAAUGCGGAAGAGAUAAGUGCUGAAAGCAUCUAAGCACGAAACUUGCCCCGAGAUGAGUUCUCCCUGACUCCUUGAGAGUCCUGAAGGAACGUUGAAGACGACGACGUUGAUAGGCCGGGUGUGUAAGCGCAGCGAUGCGUUGAGCUAACCGGUACUAAUGAACCGUGAGGCUUAACCUU